CAGUUGAGCGCGUGAGCAGUUGACGCCCACCCCACCCGACCCCGCCGCCCCGACCCUGGGUCAGCGCCCGCGCCCGAGCCCCACGCCCGGCCCACUCGCUGGGUUGCCUCUGGCCUGUGGGAAACGGAGCCGCGUGUUGUGGGACUUAAUUAGGAGACAGAAUUCUCUCAAUUAGGAGACAGAAUUCCUGAGUCUAAGUCGUAGUGUGCUUAGUGAAAAUGUAUAUAUAUUUUAAAAAAUUUUUAGUAUGAGAGAAAAACGCAACUACCAGGAGUGGGGUUCGAACCCACGCGGACAUACGUCCAUUGGAUCUUAAGUCCAACGCCUUAACCACUCGGCCAUCCUGGUGUCUCAUUCGCUCACCCUACAAGGCGUACUACACCAUCUCCCUCUUCGCCUCCGCUCCUUUUUUUUUUUUUUUUUCCCCCAGCUGGAGCAGCAGCUGCCCGCCAGCCGGAGCCUGCUUUUUCUGCCGCCGCAACUCACUGUUGCUGUCGGCCGGCAGCUGCCGCCAAGGCAACUGCAGCCGAGCUCGGCGCGCUUUGGGCGGCGGCGGCGGCGGGCCAGGCCGCUCGCUCAGGCGGGCUUCGGGCCCAGGCACUCUGCUUUCGGUUUCGAGGUGCGCGGGCGCGGGAAACAAACACGCCAGUGAACCUCUGGAUUCCGCCGACCGCGUUUGGGAGCGGCGCUGCGACGCCGCCCAGAUAGUGGCGGUUGGUUUGUUUUAUACCAGGGCUUUCUCUCCAUUCUCCACCACCUAGGACCUGGAAUCCAGCGCAGAGCCGAGGCUUCUGCGUUCUGGAGCGUCAAGGAGGCACCAUCUGGUAGCCAGGCCCUUGUCCAGAUUGUGCAGGCUGGCUGUCUUUGAGUGAGAGCUUCCAUCGUCCUGGAGACUGCACACACAUUCACAUCACCAACUGGCUCCUCACCCACUGGGUCACACGGAAAAGCCCAUUGCCCUGCCACCUCCUGGACGCCAGUGAUCCCCGGGAACAUUGGCAUGACCCUGGGAAGCCUUGGCCCAGCCCGUUGCCCUGGUUCUCUGAGUACCAGUCAACAAUACAGACCACCCCUGAGAGAGCUCCCCAGGAGAGGAAUGGAUGGAAUUGCCCCCUACCCACUUGGCCACGUAACGUCGUGGGGGAUCAGUGGCCUGCAUGUACAUUCCAGCCUCAACACUGUCCCACCCACUGGCCAUCAGGCCUGGCCCUCCCAAAGCCUACAGAGGAGAACAGAGCCAGAGCAUCUCUCAGGCCGGCCCCGCCCUGCUGAGAGGAGAUGAACCUGGACUCUUGCCAGGGUCUACAGGCACCAAUGUGGUGCUGACGCGCCACCCACUACUCACCACCUCCAUCUUGGAGGCCGAGUGCUGGCUUGUACCUUAGGAAGCCGGCCUCAGAAUGGAGGAGAUUCCUCAAAUGUCAGAAGGUGUUCUAAAAUGCUGACAGCUGCAGAACAUGACAGAUAUCCACCUGAAAGCUAGAACAAAAUAUGAAAAGCACCGUGCAAUGACAUUUGUUAUGACUGACACUACCAGAGUGCAAAAGACAGUAUUAAAAUGGAUUUUUUAAGGUUGAAAUGGGCUUAUGUUCAGGAAAUUGCAUUUGACAUAAUUCUCGUGGGGAAAUGUUUUACUCUAUUUAAACUACUUUUCACUGUGUACGUGUUUAUUUAAGAUGUGACAUUCUUUAUGCACUCUAUAGUGGUUUAAAAAAUAUGUUCAUAACUGCUUUGAUACUCCCUUCAAGACUGUGCUCAGUAGCUUCAGUCAUGUUUGACUCUUUGCGACCCCAUGGACCAUAGCCCACCAGCCUCCUCUGUCCAUGGGAUUCUCCAGGCAAGAAUUCUGGAGUGGGCUGCCAUGCCCUCCUCCAGGGGAUCUUCACCUGCACUGGCAGGUGGGUUCGUUACCAUUAGGACCAUCUAGGAAGCCCCCCUCCCUUUAAGAUAUGGAGGCUAAUUACCUUCUCCUUCAGUGUAGGCUGGAUCCUGUUUCUUUAGUUUUUAAAGGCUUAUUUAUUUAUUUGGCUGCUUGGGGUCCUAGCUGUGGUGUGUGGGAUCUAAUUUCUGACCAGGGAUUGAACCCCGGGUCCCCAGCAUUGGGAGUGUGGAUGGAUCUUGUUUCUAACGAGAAGAAUAAAACAGAAGAGACAAUAUGCAACCUGGGAGCCUAGGUCAUCAAAGGCACUGCUGUAUCAGCUUGGUUUCUUUCUGUUGGAUGAUUCCCUCUGGAGGAAACCAGCUGCCACCUCCUUUUUGGAGGCCCAUGUGGUAAAGCGCAGCCCGCAAGGAACCAAGGCCUCAGUCCAAUCAAGCCUUUGAAUGACUGUAGCCUUGGCCAGUAUCUCGACUACAACUCUUGAGAGAUCCUGAAUCAGAACCACCCAGAUAAACCCUGAUUUCCUGACCCUCAGAAACAAUGUAAGAUAAUAAAUAUUUUUGUGAUUAUUUUUAUGCAGCUAUAGAUAACUAAUAGACAUACUUAGUGAAAGUGAAGUCACUCAGUCGUGUCCGACCCUUUGCGACCCCAUGGAUUGUAGCCUACCAGGCUUCUUCGUCCAUGGGAUUUUCCUGGCAAGAGUGCUGGAAUGGGUUGCCAUCUCUAGCUUUGACAGUGCAUUCACAGGCAUAUAUUUUGUUUCUAUACGUAUAUCUUAAAAAGGUUUUUUAUUGGA